AUACUAAUGAGGCUCAUUACCAAGGGCCUGACCUCCAGGGUUCUUAAAAUGCCAGCUUUUAUCCAAGGCUUUUUUCUUUCAGAGAACACUGAGCUGGUUCCUGGGACGGAUGCAGCACAAAGGGGCUUUUCAGGGCCUCCUGUUGAACGAAGUGUUCUGUUCCCAUCGAAGCUUUGAAAGACGUGGGGAGAAAACAAACCCAGAGUGACUAAGAAGUGCUGCUUCUCAGGGAUGGGCAGAUAGACGCCCUGCAACGUCCCGGGACAGGCCUGCCGUGGGAUAGGGAGGCUGCCCUUGGCAUGGGCUGCCAUCAUGUACCCAGCACCUUUGGUAAAUUAUCGCUGUUGGGCUUAUAGCUAGAAAACCUGAAAGGAGACGUGAGUCACUGGACAUGUUGAGACACACAUUGGUCCAAAUGUACCAGAAGAUACAGAUCCUCCUCUUUCCAGCACCCAGAGAGGACCAGAAAGGCUCAGCCUGGCAUUAAUACGGUGGGUUUCCCUGUAGAAGGGCUGGGUCCACGGUAGAAAAUCAGACCAUUCCUAUAAGCUCAGGAAGAGAUCACAGAGGAAAAAAAUAAUACAAGUGACUUUUAGAGCAAAUGAUAAGAUUUUCACCUGCAC
rnacentral:lncRNA from 1 species